rnacentral:rRNA from 1 species
CCGCAGCUAACGCAUUAAGUGCCCCGCCUGGGGAGUACGGCCGCAAGGCUAAAACUCAAAGGAAUUGACGGGGGCCCGCACAAGCGGCGGAGCAUGCGGAUUAAUUCGAUGCAACGCGAAGAACCUUACCAAGGCUUGACAUGUUCUCGAUCGCCGUAGAGAUACGGUUUCCCCUUUGGGGCGGGUUCACAGGUGGUGCAUGGUUGUCGUCAGCUCGUGUCGUGAGAUGUUGGGUUAAGUCCCGCAACGAGCGCAACCCUCGUUCCAUGUUGCCAGCACUUCGGGUGGGGACUCAUGGGAGACUGCCGGGGUCAACUCGGAGGAAGGUGGGGACGACGUCAAAUCAUCAUGCCCCUUAUGUCUUGGGCUUCACGCAUGCUACAAUGGCCGGUACAAUGGGUUGCGAUACUGUGAGGUGGAGCUAAUCCCAAAAAGCCGGUCUCAGUUCGGAUUGGGGUCUGCAACUCGACCCCAUGAAGUCGGAGUCGCUAGUAAUCGCAGAUCAGCAACGCUGCGGUGAAUACGUUCCCGGGCCUUGUACACACCGCCCGUCAAGUCACGAAAGUCGGUAACACCCGAAGCCGGUGGCCU